GGGGUCGGCUGCGUUGGGCUGUCAUCGGUGCCGGCCUGUCACGCCGGAGGUCGCGAGUUCGAGUCUCGUCGGCCCCGCCA
rnacentral:tRNA from 1 species